CGAGCUCAUUGGCUUCGGAGUCGUAGAAACUCCGAAGUUAAGCGAGUUGGGGGCUAGAGCAAUUCCAGGAUGGGUGACCCACUGGGAAGUUGCUCGUGAGUUCCUAGAAACAAAAUCGUGCGGUCAGAGAGGGGGGCCCAAAGCGGACAAUAUCGUACUACGGCGGAGCCGAUCCCGGGGUGUGACAAUUUGGUAUCAGAGCCAUUCUGCCGUGUGGUGCGAGUGUGCCGACGAGGACGUCGGGCCCUUAAGGGGAGUGGAUUGUAAGAUCCCACAUCAACCAACGGAGAGGGGGUGAUGUGCCUUAUAUGUGCACACCCGCAUCCAUCUAGCACGAGGCCUUUUUGGAGCUCACUGGCUUUGGAGUCGUAGGAACUCCGAAGUUAAGCGAGUUGAGGGCUAGAGCAACCCCAAGAUGGGUGACCCAUUGGGAAGUUGCUCAUGAGUUUCCAGAAAUAAAACCGUGAGGGCCAGAAAGGGGGCCCAAAGCGGACAAUAUCGUGC
rnacentral:lncRNA from 1 species